UCCAAUGGUCCAGAAGCAAGAUGCUAUCACCGAUGGUCCAGAUUCAGGCGCUGAGCAACGGUCCAGAUCUUUCAUCCAGAGAGCCAUCCAGUGGUCCAGAUUCAGGCGCUGAGCAACGGUCCAGAUCUUUCAUCCAGAGAGCCAUCCAGUGGUCCAGAUUCAGGCGCUGACCAAUGGUCCAGAUCUUUCAUCCAGAGAGCCAUCCAGUGGUCCAGAAUAAGGCACCAACUAGUGGACCAGAUCCUUCAUCCAGGGAGCGAUCCAAUGGUCCAGAAGUGAAGGCCCUAUCAAACCCAAUCCAAUUGGGUUUAACCAACUUAAAGAAAACAUUAAACCUAAUCAAAUCAGGUCUAAUUAAAGCCAAAUGGGUUCCAACUCUUGGCUAACCCAUAUUAGGUCAUGAUCUAAUCAUAUUAGAUCAACCUAAUCUAAGAAUCAGAUUCGAAUUUAAUUUGAAUCAAGAGCUAGGGUUUGCAAUACGUGCUAGCAUGUUCAUCUUGCAAACAUGAUCUAAUCCAAUUAGACCCUUGAUCAAUUCCCUUGUGUGUGACCCAUUGGGUUCCUUAUCUUAGCCAGCAGUAGGUGUAGGUGCAAGUUGACCUAACUUGAUUAGAAUACCUCUAAUCCAAUUUAGGUUCAAUUUAGUGCUAAACCUGACUUAGCAAUCAAAACCUUUCUGAUGN
rnacentral:lncRNA from 1 species